GAUGAAGAACGCAGCGAAAUGCGAUAAGUAAUGUGAAUUGCAGAAUUCAGUGAAUCAUCGAAUCUUUGAACGCACAUUGCGCCCGCCAGUAUUCUGGCGGGCAUGCCUGUCCGAGCGUCAUUUCAACCCUCGAACCCCUCCGGGGGGUCGGCGUUGGGGAUCGGCCCUUUACGGGGCCGGCCCCGAAAUACAGUGGCGGUCUCGCCGCAGCCUCUCCUGCGCAGUAGUUUGCACACUCGCAUCGGGAGCGCGGCGCGUCCACAGCCGUUAAACACCCAACUUCUGAAAUGUUGACCUCGGAUCAGGUAGGAAUACCCGCUGAACUUAAGCAUAUCAAUAAGCGGAGGA
rnacentral:misc_RNA from 1 species